rnacentral:sRNA from 1 species
ACUCAAGUUUUAUAAGGAAUGAAGAAGACGUGUGUAUUUAAAAAAAUCACGUCACCAUCGGUAAAUUUUUUUUGUUCAUAUGGUUUUUAAGGAAAAAGGGU